rnacentral:rRNA from 1 species
UACGUAGGGUGCAAGCGUUAAUCGGAAUUACUGGGCGUAAAGCGUGCGCAGGCGGUUAUGUAAGACAGGUGUGAAAUCCCCGGGCUUAACCUGGGAACUGCAUUUGUGACUGCAUAGCUAGAGUACGGUAGAGGGGGAUGGAAUUCCGCGUGUAGCAGUGAAAUGCGUAGAUAUGCGGGAGGAACACCCGAUGGCGAAAGGGCAGCCCCCCUGGGCUUAAAAUUUGACGCUGAGGCACGAAAGCGUGGGGAGCAAACAGG